CACAGUACUUAUUUGACCUGACAUUACAUUUGCAGUCAAUCCAAAGCUUUGUAAGUAAACUGUUUACACUUUUAUUAGUCUGUGUGUUGAGGCUGUUGAAGUGUUGGAUAUUUUAUUUUAAAUGCAGACCAGUAUAUGAAACACUGAGGGAUCCAUGCUUGGUUUUCCAUGCAGUGGGAGACUAAAGAUGAGUCAAAGCCUGUGUUUCACUCGUCUCAAUACCUUAAUUAUUUGUGGAAACAGCUGCUAAAGACCCUCUGCGGGUUUAAGACUCCAUGCUGGCAUUAAACACAUCCCAGAAUUCCUCUUGCUCUUAACUGAACUUCAUUCAUCUAGUGCUGGCAAAAAAACACAGCAGCUGCCAAUCGAAACUCCUCUCUUCCUAAAACCAAAAACUUCAAAACAAAACCAAAUAAUGAAAUACUGCAUAAUUGUUAAAUAAAAAACAACAACUUUUGCUUCAAGCACAAAUAAUUGCCCAUUUCAGGUGUGAGUUUCUGAGAAACUGAAUGUACAGUGAUUGUAUUAUUACCCCGAUUAAUCAUUAAAUUCCUGCUCUGCAUUCUUGGGCAUGUUUUGAUCUGCCCUCUUACCUCGUGCCAUAUAUGAAGAGCCGUGCAGGUCUAGAUCAAACAUUCUCCAGGACUAUUACAGAAGACGCCACUGACGUUUCUAGCAUAUCUCAGCACAUUAUCACAUCAAAGAGUUCAGAGUAUAAGAAGCGAUUUGAAGUGGCCCAAAGCAAGACGUAUAACAGGUGGAUCCAUCCUUACAGUAAUGCAGAAAAAGAAAAAAAAAAACAACAGUUUGCUAUUCGACACUCAUGCGCACACGCACAUUUUUACUUACUUGGCUAUUCCUGUCUCUAUCCUUCCAGAAGAAUGGUAAUACAGGCAUUCAUGUGGCAUCAUGUCUCAAUCUUCCUCCAGGACAUCCCACCGCUGCACAGUUUAGAUCUCUCACUAAAGUUGCGGUCACACUUCUGAUCCUGCAACAAAUUUUCGCAACAGGAUUUGAUGUCACAUACUAUUUCUAGAUAGAAUAAAAAUUUGAAAUAUUCAACUCA
ensembl:lncRNA